rnacentral:snRNA from 1 species
GGAAAAUAUGAUUUUGCAAUU